rnacentral:tRNA from 1 species
CAGGGAGACAACAAAAUGUUCAAUAUUAUUUUGUCACCUUAGGUCGAUCGGUAUCUCACGUUCUUUAUUUUUUAAGAAUUUCAUUUCCUAAGUUUUUCUAGGUCACACCCAUUAUUUUUCCUGGGCCAUUAGCUCAGGUGGUUAGAGCGCACCCCUGAUAAGGGUGAGGUCCCUGGUUCAAGUCCAGGAUGGCCCAUAUCUCUAUGUUGGGGGUAUAGCUCAGUUGGUAGAGCGCCUGCUUUGCAAGCAGGAUGUCAGCGGUUCGAGUCCGCUUACCUCCACUGAUUACCACCUCUUCCAUAAUUCUGUAGAAAGGAAAUUUUUUGAGCUGUGAUCAAUUUCUGAACGAAUCUAGCUUCCUAAUAAUCUUAUUAAGAUGCUGGACUCAUUGAAUUAAUUUCAUUGUUUUCAGAGAACCUUGACAACUGCAUAGAUUAUUUUUAAAGACAAUAAGCAUCUUUAAUGAUGCAGAUUUAUUAUUUGUGCGAAUGCAUUAAUAACAAUUCUAUUAAGCUGAUGCUUCAAUUUUGAAGUUAUU